rfam:Myotis lucifugus cont2.1937, whole genome shotgun sequence.
GGCAGUUCUUGAGUGAUGCGCCCAGGAUCGGUCUCCCUCCUCUCUGGUUCCAGGUGUGUCACCCAAGAACUGCA